rnacentral:misc_RNA from 1 species
GGAGGGGCCAGUGGAAAGCUGCAAUUCAAUCACAGGAGUUCUUUAGGACUCUUCAGAGAUAUUACAGCAAUGCUUACAUGGAUGCAGAAAAACAAAAUGCUAUUAAUGUGUUUUUGGGUUACUUUCAACCGCUUGAGGGUAGACCUGAUAUAUGGGAAUUGGACUCCUAUCAGCAUUACUAUGUGGGUAGGAAUGGGGAAAGCUAUGUUGACGACAGUGGAAGGUCGCUCUUUCAAAGAUCAUUCUCGGAUGGGAACAUUCUUCAUGAAAGUCAAUUUCCCUUUUCAACUCGUAGUAUUGGGAAGGGGCUUUCUAAGUCGAACCUGUCUAACCAGUCAAAAGAAGGAAGCAAAGUGCUCUCCGAAUCAACACCAGAAAUGUCAACUUGUCAAAGUGAUUUGACAUAUUCAAGGUAUGCUCAAACAGUUCCUACAAGACAACUUUUUGUAGAAAUGCAAAGAGAUCGAUCCCUUGAACAACAAAAUGCAGAUACAUAUGACUGCUCCAACUUCCUUGACUUAGAUUGGUUGUCUUCUUCUGGGAAUUCCUGUGAGGAAGAGUUUUUGGACAGGUCUUUGUUUACAAACUCCCCAAUAGGUGGACUAUCA